rnacentral:rRNA from 1 species
CUGCCCUUGACUCUGGGAUAAGCCUGGGAAACUGGGUCUAAUACCGGAUAUGACCUUCCAUCGCAUGGUGGUUGGUGGAAAGCUUUUGUGGUUUUGGAUGGACUCGCGGCCUAUCAGCUUGUUGGUGGGGUAAUGGCCUACCAAGGCGACGACGGGUAGCCGGCCUGAGAGGGUGACCGGCCACACUGGGACUGAGACACGGCCCAGACUCCUACGGGAGGCAGCAGUGGGGAAUAUUGCACAAUGGGCGCAAGCCUGAUGCAGCGACGCCGCGUGAGGGAUGACGGCCUUCGGGUUGUAAACCUCUUUCAGUAGGGAAGAAGCGUAAGUGACGGUACCUGCAGAAGAAGCGCCGGCUAACUACGUGCCAGCAGCCGCGGUAAUACGUAGGGCGCAAGCGUUAUCCGGAAUUAUUGGGCGUAAAGAGCUCGUAGGCGGUUUGUCGCGUCUGCCGUGAAAGUCCGGGGCUCAACUCCGGAUCUGCGGUGGGUACGGGCAGACUAGAGUGAUGUAGGGGAGACUGGAAUUCCUGGUGUAGCGGUGAAAUGCGCAGAUAUCAGGAGGAACACCGAUGGCGAAGGCAGGUCUCUGGGCAUUAACUGACGCUGAGGAGCGAAAGCAUGGGGAGCGAACAGGAUUAGAUACCCUGGUAGUCCAUGCCGUAAACGUUGGGCACUAGGUGUGGGGGACAUUCCACGUUUUCCGCGCCGUAGCUAACGCAUUAAGUGCCCCGCCUGGGGAGUACGGCCGCAAGGCUAAAACUCAAAGGAAUUGACGGGGGCCCGCACAAGCGGCGGAGCAUGCGGAUUAAUUCGAUGCAACGCGAAGAACCUUACCAAGGCUUGACAUGAACCGGAAAGAUCUGGAAACAGGUCCCCCACUUGUGGUCGGUUUACAGGUGGUGCAUGGUUGUCGUCAGCUCGUGUCGUGAGAUGUUGGGUUAAGUCCCGCAACGAGCGCAACCCUCGUUCUAUGUUGCCAGCACGUGAUGGUGGGGACUCAUAGGAGACUGCCGGGGUCAACUCGGAGGAAGGUGGGGACGACGUCAAAUCAUCAUGCCCCUUAUGUCUUGGGCUUCACGCAUGCUACAAUGGCCGGUACAAAGGGUUGCGAUACUGUGAGGUGGAGCUAAUCCCAAAAAGCCGGUCUCAGUUCGGAUUGGGGUCUGCAACUCGACCCCAUGAAGUCGGAGUCGCUAGUAAUCGCAGAUCAGCAACGCUGCGGUGAAUACGUUCCCGGGCCUUGUACACACCGCCCGUCAAGUCACGAAAGUUGGUAACACCCGAAGCCGGUGGCCUAACCCC